rnacentral:rRNA from 1 species
UUAAACUGAAGAGUUUGAUCAUGGCUCAGAUUGAACGCUGGCGGCAGGCCUAACACAUGCAAGUCGAGCGGUAACAGAUCCAGCUUGCUGGAUGCUGACGAGCGGCGGACGGGUGAGUAAUGCAUAGGAAUCUGCCCGAUAGUGGGGGAUAACCUGGGGAAACCCAGGCUAAUACCGCAUACGUCCUACGGGAG